rnacentral:rRNA from 1 species
GUGUCAGCAGCCGCGGUAAUACGUAGGGUGCAAGCGUUAAUCGGAAUUACUGGGCGUAAAGCGUGCGCAGGCGGUUUGAUAAGCCAGAUGUGAAAUCCCCGAGCUCAACUUGGGAACUGCGUUUGGAACUGUCAGACUAGAGUGCGUCAGAGGGGGGUGGAAUUCCGCGUGUAGCAGUGAAAUGCGUAGAGAUGCGGAGGAACACCGAUGGCGAAGGCAGCCCCCUGGGAUGACACUGACGCUCAUGCACGAAAGCGUGGGGAGCAAACAGGAUUAGAUACCCUGGUAGUCCACGCCCUAAACGAUGUCAAUUAGCUGUUGGGGGUUAGAAUCCCUGGUAGCGUAGCUAACGCGUGAAAUUGACCGCCUGGGGAGUACGGCCGCAAGGUUAAA